rnacentral:rRNA from 1 species
CACGAAGUUAGCCGGGGCUUCUUCUCACGCUACCGUCAUCAUCGUCGCGUGCGAAAGAGCUUUACAACCCGAAGGCCUUCAUCACUCAUGCGGCAUUGCUGGAUCAGGCUUGCGCCCAUUGUCCAAUAUUCCCCACUGCUGCCUCCCGUAGGAGUCUGGGCCGUGUCUCAGUCCCAGUGUGGCUGAUCAUCCUCUCAGACCAGCUAAGGAUCGUUGCCUUGGUAGGCCGUUACCCCACCAACAAGCUAAUCCUACGCGGGCCCAUCCCAUGGCGAUAAAUCUUUGUCCCUCAAGACACAUACGGUAUUAGCUCCAGUUUCCCGGAGUUAUUCCGUACCACAGGGCAGGUUCCCACGCGUUACUCACCCGUGCGCCACUAGGGCCGAAGCCCUCGUUCGACUUGCAUGUGUUAGGCAUGCCGCCAGCGUUCGUUCUGAGCCAGGAUCAAACU